GACGAACGCUGGCGGCGUGCUUAACACAUGCAAGUCGAACGGAAAGGCCCUGCUUUUGUGGGGUGCUCGAGUGGCGAACGGGUGUGUAACACGUGAGUAACCUGCCCUUGACUUUGGGAUAACUUCAGGAAACUGGGGCUAAUACCGGAUAGGAGCUCCUGCUGCAUGGGGGGGGUUGGAAAGUUUCGGCGGUUGGGGAUGGACUCGCGGCUUAUCAGCUUGUUGGUGGGGUAGUGGCUUACCAAGGCUUUGACGGGUAGCCGGCCUGAGAGGGUGACCGGCCACAUUGGGACUGAGAUACGGCCCAGACUCCUACGGGAGGCAGCAGUGGGGAAUAUUGCACAAUGGGCGGAAGCCUGAUGCAGCAACGCCGCGUGCGGGAUGACGGCCUUCGGGUUGUAAACCGCUUUCGCCUGUGACGAAGCGUGAGUGACGGUAAUGGGUAAAGAAGCACCGGCUAACUACGUG
rnacentral:rRNA from 1 species